GCUCAGAACGAACGCUGGCGGCGCGUUUUAAGCAUGCAAGUCGAACGGUAGUCAGGUGCUUGCACCUGAUGAGAGUGGCGAACGGGUGAGUAACACGUAGGUGAUCUACCUAGAAGUUGGGGAUAGCCUGUGGAAACACAGGGUAAUACCGAAUGAGCCUAUAUACAUACGUGUAUGUAGGGAAAGAGGCUCAGGCCUCGCUUGUAGUUGAGCCUGCGGCUCAUUAGCUAGUUGGGAGGGUAAAGGCCUACCAAGGCGACGAUGAGUAGCCGACCUGAGAGGGUGGGCGGUCACACUGGGACUGAGACACGGCCCAGACUCCUACGGGAGGCAGCAGCUAAGAAUCUUCCGCAAUGGUCGAAAGGCUGACGGAGCGACGCCGCGUGGACGAAGAAGGCCGGAAGGUUGUAAAGUUCUUUUCUCAGAGAAGAAUAAGGUGAGGAGGGAAUGCCUCAUUGAUGACGUUAUCUGAGGAAUAAGCCCCGGCUAAUUACGUGCCAGCAGCCGCGGUAACACGUAAGGGGCGAGCGUUGUUCGGAAUUAUUGGGCGUAAAGGGCGCGUAGGCGGCUGAACAAGCCUGGUGUGAAAGGCCACAGCUUAACUGUGGGAGUGCGCUGGGAACUGUUUGGCUAGAGUUCAGGAGGGGAAGCUGGAAUUCCUGGUGUAGGGGUGAAAUCUGUAGAUAUCAGGAAGAACACCUGUGGCGAAGGCGAGCUUCUGGCCAUGAACUGACGCUGAGGCGCGAAAGCGUGGGGAGCGAACAGGAUUAGAUACCCUGGUAGUCCACGCUGUAAACGAUGUGCACUAGGUGUUGGUUGUAGAAAUGAUCGGUGCCGAAGCAAACGCGAUAAGUGCACCGNCUGGGGAGUAUGCUCGCAAGGGUGAAACUCAAAGGAAUUGACGGGGGCCCGCACAAGCGGUGGAG
rnacentral:rRNA from 1 species